GGAAUUUCUGGUGUAGCGGUGGAAUGCACAGAUAUCAGGAAGAACACCGAUGGCGAAGGCAGGUCUCUGGGUAGUAACUGACGCUGAGGAGCGAAAGCAUGGGUAGCGAACAGGAUUAGAUACCCUGGUAGUCCAUGCCGUAAACGGUGGGCGCUAGGUGUGGGGUUCCUUCCACGGGCUCCGCGCCGUAGCUAACGCAUUAAGCGCCCCGCCUGGGGAGUACGGCCGCAAGGCUAAAACUCAAAGAAAUUGACGGGGGCCCGCACAAGCGGCGGAGCAUGUGGAUUAAUUCGAUGCAACGCGAAGAACCUUACCUGGGCUUGACAUAUAGAGGAUCGCUACAGAGAUGUGGUUUCCCUUGUGGCUUCUAUACAGGUGGUGCAUGGUUGUCGUCAGCUCGUGUCGUGAGAUGUUGGGUUAAGUCCCGCAACGAGCGCAACCCUUGUCUUAUGUUGCCAGCACGUUAUGGUGGGGACUCGUGAGAGACUGCCGGGGUCAACUCGGAGGAAGGUGGGGAUGACGUCAAAUCAUCAUGCCCCUUAUGUCCAGGGCUUCACACAUGCUACAAUGGCCGGUACAGAGGGCUGCGAUGCCGUGAGGCGGAGCGAAUCUCUUAAAGCCGGUCUCAGUUCGGAUUGGGGUCUGCAACUCGACCCCAUGAAGUCGGAG
rnacentral:rRNA from 1 species